AGUGAACGCUGGCGGUAGGCCUAACACAUGCAAGUCGAACGGCAGCACAGUAAGAGCUUGCUCUUACGGGUGGCGAGUGGCGGACGGGUGAGGAAUACAUCGGAAUCUACUUUUUCGUGGGGGAUAACGUAGGUAAACUUACGCUAAUACCGCAUACGACCUACGGGUGAAAGCAGUGGAUCUUCGGACCUUUCGCGAUUGAAUGAGCCGAUGUCGGAUUAGCUAGUUGGCGGGGUAAAUGCCCACCAAGGCGACGAUCCGUAGCUGGUCUGAGAGGAUGAUCAGCCACACUGGAACUGAGACACGGUCCAGACUCCUACGGGAGGCAGCAGUGGGGAAUAUUGGACAAUGGGCGCAAGCAUGAUCCAGCCAUACCGCGUGGGUGAAGAAGGCCUUCGGGUUGUAAAGCCCUUUUGUUGGGAAAGAACUCCAGCCGGCUAAUACCUGGUUGGGAUGACGGUACCCAAAGAAUAAGCACCGGCUAACUUCGUG
rnacentral:rRNA from 1 species